rnacentral:lncRNA from 1 species
UGGUGAGCCCGCAAAACCAACGUAGGUUAUUGGUGAUCCCGGAAAACCAAACUGUAAAGGUUUUGGAUUGUGAGCCCGAAAAACAAUCCUACUGUAAUCCGAGGGAUUAUAGUAAAAUUUUCAAGGGGACGCUUGGAAAGUGGACGUAGGUGCCUUGGGGUACACCGAACCACUAUACAUCGUGGUGUUUGUGUUGUGGCUUCACUUGUGAUUAUUCUUGCAUUAUCUUUCAUCUUUGCUAUAGUUUAAUUCAUUGAAGUAAUUUAAGAAAGCAUCCACCGCACUCAACUAAGGAAGUUUUUUAAAGCA